rnacentral:lncRNA from 1 species
UAAAUAGUUUAUCACUUUUUUAUUUGAUUAAAUUCUAAAAUUAAUAAUUAAAAAAAAAUUUUAAUUUUUAUAGAGAUCUUAUUAUUGAACCAUCCUAAUGGUUGUAAACAUGAAAGAUUGGAUUUAUUACCAAAAACGGGAUGUGUGUCUGAUAUCCUUAAUAAUUAAAAAGUAGAGGGAGGAAGCGAUAAAACGAAUACGACGAUAGGAUUAAAAAAGUAUUUCACUACUUGCUCAUCCAUGCCAUAAAUAAAUAUGAUUCAACCGGAUGGAAGUAGAAUAAAAGUAUAAGCACAAGCAUAAGUAUAAUAAACGCGUAUAAAGUAAAAUAAAGUAUUUAAUAGGUAAGAAGAGAUGUAUGAUGUACGAUGAGCAGUGUGUACAAAAAUACAUGUAGUCUAAAAUGGUUUUGCAGUACCGGUGUGUAAGCACCUGGACCACCUAUUUGGAAAAUUCAUCAUGUUUAUACCUGUAACCCGCAUCUGCCUGUCACUCCCUCUCGAUUCUUCUGUCGCGUGCUCAUUUUUUUUUUUUUUACUUUAUUUUAUACUUCUCAUCUCCCCUCAUACUCUGAUGCUAAAAUCCCGUCUCCAGUCUACAGUCUACAGGAAUUACAGCCACACACUCAAGCAAUACAACACACACCCUGAUACAAAGACAAGAAAAUAAUGAACUCUGUAUAAAUUGCCGUCCGAAAAACGAGCUAGCGUUUUGGAUGACGGUAUUAUUUAUCUUAUAUACCGGUUGUUAAAUUCAACAAAUGGAUUUGUUGUGAUGAUUAUUUUUAUUUUAUUAUAUUCAUUCGAUACGUUUUUUUACAGCAGCAGCAGGAGCGAGACCAGGUUGUCCAAUUGGCCAAACCAGGCUCGAAAGAAAUCCAAGACCAAGACCAAGAUCCAGACCAAGAAGAAGAAGAAGAAGAAGAAGAAGAAGAAGAAGAAGUAAAGGUGGUACAGGAAUAGUAUAGACUUGUGGAUAAAGUAUACAAGCAAUUCUCGAAAGAGCGAGGGAGGAGUAAAGAGGGAGAGUCUUAAGCAGGGGGCAGCAGGUGAUGCGCCAGGUGGAAUACGACGGCGCGUGCGCUGCCCCCCGCCUUCCGGUCACGUGUCCUCACCCUCAACCUCCCCUACAACUGAGCACACACGCUCCUCAAGUCCUUGCACACCUAAUAACUCCUUACUCAUUCCUUCUUUUCUUAUUCAAUCUUUUUUUCAAGCUUUUUUUAUUAUUAUACAUCCUUAUUAUUUAGUUUAUUUUUCAGCGUAUCACAGCUUUCAUUUUAGGGGUCUCGUGCCAAGUCCGUCAACCUUACGACACUGACAGAUGCACACCAGAAACCAGAGACCAGAGUCCAAGUUCAGAAACUCUUCAGGAGCCCUUUCCCAACAGCUAAACAGUAACAGGGCCCGUGUACACGUUUUGCUGCUGCUGCUGCCUCUGGUGCCUUCCUUUCCUUCCGUUCAUACACUUCUUCAGCGGCUUCACUAUCGAGAGCCAGACAGGAAGCUCGAUAACCAUCGACCCGUCGGGGUUGCUUGAGAUUUUUUUGUUCACCGUUAUUUAUUUCAACUAAAAAAUUAUCUCGGACUCUUAUUAUUAUUUUAUGAGCUAUUAGUUAUUAAUAUCGCUGCAAUUUAAGCAGUUCAAAAUUAAACUUAGCUUGCGUCUAGAUGAAGAAAGACCUCCGCUAAACUAAGAAGGCUGUAUUAUGACGAUAAACGACUACUAGAAUGCUAAGUUCACUUUUAUAUUAUAUAUUAUGACGAUAUCGGAAGUUUAUUCUACGAACUAACGACAAAUAUGCGAGGAAUUAUAAAAAUUGGAGAGUUCACAUAUGUAUGCCUUGUAAGCAUUCAUUUUAAAUGAUAACAAUCAGCUAAACAAGCUUAAAAUAUCAUGUAACAAAUUUUUUUACUGAAAAAUUAUCAGACAAAAUUGAAGUGCCUGGAUGCUCAAGAUAUGUAAAAAUUAAUAAUCAAGUGGACGAAAUAAAUUUCAACGACUCGCCGAUUUUAUUUUAUUGAAUAAACGUAAUUGAUGGUAAA